AUGUACUUUAAAAUGUAUUCUUCCACUAAAAAAGGAAAUGUGUAAUGCCUCAAGUAGAAGAAUUCUUAUAGAGUUAAUUGCUUUCUUGAUAUUGGGUUGAGUGGCCUCAGUAGUCAACAAUCCCAUUAGAUGAAAUUUGACUCCUCUUUCAUUUCUUGUCUGUUUGCUCCCCUGUUUUAUUUGUUUACUCUUCCCAUAUUUCAUUUCAUUUCAUUUUCAAUGAGAGUUUCCCCAUAUUGGCCAUAAAGAGGCCAAAGAUGAUUAAUGUGGUUGAAUACGUACAUCAGCCCCACCUUUUUUUGCGUACUGUACUAUACUGUACUUGUAUUUGAUAUCUUUUCGAAUUGCCAUUUUCCUCGAUAGACAGUCCACCAGAAUUACCAUAACCAUGAUGCCCAUUUUGCUACCUUGUUGAGGAAUGUCAAGCAGCUUAUAUGAGCAAACAGUAGUUGGAAAAUGGUCCAACACUGAACAAGUUCCUUUUGAUGCAGGGCCAGAGGCGUUUGUUCAGGUGCUCUAGUCCAUGAUAUCAUAUGCAAUGCAAGGCGUUUGUGCACCCCACUCAAGUGACCUAAGCUAAAGUUUUUCUUUCAGGUAUUCAAAGCAUUUCAUUUCUUUACAACAAUCAUGCCUUCAUCCCAAUCAGUUUUUGUCUCAAUUCGUAGCUGCCCUUAGCCUUAUUUUACCCUCUCUCUCUCUCUCAAUCAUGCCUUCAUCCCAAUCAAUUUUUGUCUCUAUUCGUAGCUGCCCUUAGCCUUAUUAUCUCUCUCUCCCCUAAUUUUGCGGAGAAUGAAAGUUUUGAACAAAUAAUACUUAUAUAUCAUGCUAUGGCCUAUGGUGUCAGUCAUUCACCAUAUAUAUGGCUCGAGUAUAUUAUUUUAUGGUAGUUUCCUGUGUAUUUUAUUUAUAUUUGCUACCAUAUCGUGGUGUGCAUUUGGGUAGGAAAUACCAAUCUCGUAUUACGUGCGUUAUUUUGUCCAACUUAUAUCUUAAUUCUUUAUAAGCUUUUAUUUAUUGUGUAACUUAUCAGCAUUUGAAUGAGAUGAUAGCCAUUUAAAUUACAGAGAUAAAUUAAAUUCAAGUCGGCCCCAUAUGGUUUGAAACAAAAUAGUACUAAUACUCGCACAGUUUUAAUUUUUCUCAAUUGUUUCAUUUGUGUACAAAAUGAUGUCUUUUGGUGAUACUCGUAUAUGUAUUUUUGUUCUUAAAAAAAAAUAUUGUAUUGUUUUGUAUCUGAAUGUAAUAAUUGAGAAAAUUUGAAAUUUUGUGAUUGAUUUAAACGUCUUUAUGGCUAUGCCUAUGACGAAAUAAAAAUUAUCGUAUGAUAGGUUCGAAAUAGUUUUCAUUUUUGUCGUUUUGUAACCCUUGUCAUAUUCUCAUAAGUUUUUUUUUGUUAUUUUCAUUUUUCAAUAUGAUAGCAACACGAUUAAAUAUAAAAAGUUGAAUUUGAUAAGAAAUAUCAGUCGACAUGUUUCGAUUUUGACAUGAAAGUUGAAAGCCUAGAAGCUAUAGCAAUGUUGGGGCGGCAGCGGCGGCACCAACAAAAUCCCAUUUUCAUAUAACGCAGGCCUAUAGCUGAUUUCUUUCACAAAAUUACAUAACAAGAGUAAUACUUUUGAAUUAUAUGUGAAGGUAAUAUAAAACUUCUAAAAUAUUUCUUAAAAUAUGAGUCAACUUCGUUAACGAAGACGUGUCAUAUAUUGUGGCUGAUCAGAGUCAUACAAAUGUAUUAUUUUUAAAUCAUAUCUUGUCAUUUCUUAGUUUCUUUUUCUAAUUAUAUGUUAGAAAAAAAAGUAAGAAAGGGCAUGAGUUUCCUCCUUUAUUGUAGUAGUAGUAGUAGUAGUAGUAGUAUAGGAGUAUAAUUCAUGUUUCAUGCGAGAAUUCGCUUGGCCAUGUGAUAUUUUAUCUACACGCCAAAUCAAGUUUUUUAGUUGGGUUUUGAGACCUAGUUUAAUUAACUAAGUUGAUGCACCACAAGACUUUUUUUUAUGGGUUCAGUCACAAUUGCAUUAGAAACAAAUAAUUGCCGGUUUGUGUUGCACAUUUAUGUUAAGAUGAGUUUCUACACCUCACAUAUCAAGACAAGAUUCAUAUUUGAUCCAUUUCUUAAUAGUACUGACGUUGUGAUGUUGAACUCACUAUAUCAAUAUUUCUUUGCAGCAGAAAAAUUGCACUCAAUUUCUGUGUGAAUACUAAUCAAGAAUCGAUUAGCAUUCACCCCUACUAUAUAAUAGUGACUUUGACGAUUAUAUAUACACCGAAAUUAAUGCAUGGAAUCUAUUUUCUUUUC